ensembl:lncRNA
CAUAAAUUAGUUGUAUCCCCAUUUGUAAAAUAGCCAACAAAGUAAUUGUUGUAGGCUAACCCGAUCCCAUGAAAGUGCUUAUAGCACGAUUUUCUGCUUUGUCGUAAUAUUUCUAUGCAGAAAUUUACUUUGGCAUGCAAAAGACUGAUAAAUUCAUAAUUAAUGGCAUGGCUGAAAAAGUCGACAGAAAAACGGGACACAUACAGGUCUAUGAUAACUGCUGAAAUGUUUGCAGGGGGAAGUUGGAGGUCAGUCUGAGUGCUCGUGGUACUCACAGUGCGUACAGCGUACAACUGCAGGCGCCACGGACUCAGACGGUUGCCGUGGUAAUAAACACCAUAAACAGCAACCGUUCAUGUGUCAGCGCUUAAUGCGCAACUCCUAUUAAAAGCAUUUUAGGGGGGCCCCUGGCUUUAAGGGGCCCAAGGCGGUCGCCUACCUUUGCCUAAUGGGAAAGUCCCCCCUGCUGAAUAUUGCACCGCCGAGUAAAAGCUGCUGGCUAGUUCUUUCUUUAAACUCUUCAGAGUGCAUCACUUUAUCUGAGGCACUUCAAUGAAGAAUCAUGCCACUUACACCUAUUCAAAUCUUUAUUCUGAUGUGUGGAUUUUGUUCCCGAUUUCACGCUAUUGCAUAUCCACCAGUUCAAACAGUUCAGACCCAAAAUGAAGUCUUGCGUGGAUCUGAUGUAUCUUUGCGAUGUGACGUCCCUCUCCUGAAUGAAUCCUCCACGUUGCUCUGGGAGAAAGAUGGAGAACAAAUAUCCAACAACACACUGAUCUUCAACAACUCUGCCUUCAUCAUCUUAUACACUGUUGAUGAACACAGUGAAGGGAAAUAUUACUGUAAAUUGAUGGAAGAUGGAAAAACAGAAACUGUUAGGAUUCACACACUUAAUGUAACUUUACAUUCAUACAAUGGAGAAAAAAGGAAUCGUCUCAUUUACAGACAAAGCUCCAGUAAUAGUGAUGUAUUACUCAUCUGCAAAUCUAGCAAGACUUAUGAGAGCUUGAAGUGGACCUGGGAGCCAAAGCCUAAUUCACGGAUUGAUCUGAUAGCCUUUGAAAAAGAAAUACAAGUUCAGUUAAAAGAACCAAAUAAACGUUCAGGGAUACGUUCUUCCACUAAAUACAACAGUCAAGCUUUAAUCUUUCACAUCUCACCUGUGUACUUCAAUUACAGAGGAACAUACAGAUGUAUUACAGAAAUUAGUGUCUACACAACAAUAAUACUACACACCAUCAGAGGUUUGCAAAAAGUCAAUGAAUCAAUCUGUAAUAAAUACAUUGAUUUUUCAUUUACAUGUGAUUAUCAGACACCUAAAGAACCU